UCCGUAGGCGGUGUGGCAAGUCGGAAGUGAAAUCUCUGGGCUUAACCCAGAGGCUGCUUCCGAAACUGCCGUGCUAGAGUGUGAGAGAGGCGAGUGGAAUUGCGGGUGUAGCGGUGAAAUGCGUAGAUAUCCGCAGGAACAUCCGAGGCGAAAGCGGCUCGCUGGAUCACAACUGACGCUGAGGGACGAAAGCUAGGGGAGCAAACAGGAUUAGAUACCCUGGUAGUCCCUAGCCCUAAACCAUCAGGACUUGGGGUUUGCCCUGUACGGGGCAAGUCCCGUAGCUAACGCGUUAAGUCCUGCGCCUGGGGAGUACGGUCGCAAGGCUGAA
rnacentral:rRNA from 1 species